AGAGUUUGAUCCUGGCUCAGAACGAACGCUGGCGGCAUGCCUAACACAUGCAAGUCGAACGCUCGUCUUCGGACGGGAGUGGCGCACGGGUGCGUAACGCGUGGGAAUCUGCCCAAAGGUACGGAAUAACUCAGGGAAACUUGUGCUAAUACCGUAUGAUGCCGAAAGACCAAAGAUUUAUCGCCUUUGGAUGAGCCCGCGUAGGAUUAGCUUGUUGGUGGGGUAAAGGCCUACCAAGGCGACGAUCCUUAGCUGGUCUGAGAGGAUGAUCAGCCACACUGGGACUGAGACACGGCCCAGACUCCUACGGGAGGCAGCAGUGGGGAAUAUUGGACAAUGGGCGAAAGCCUGAUCCAGCAAUGCCGCGUGAGUGAAGAAGGCCUUCGGGUUGUAAAGCUCUUUUGCCCGGGAUGAUAAUGACCGUACCGGAGAAUAAGCC
rnacentral:rRNA from 1 species